rnacentral:rRNA from 1 species
UACGUAGGGUGCGAGCGUUGUCCGGAAUUAUUGGGCGUAAAGAGCUCGUAGGCGGCUUGUCGCGUCGGAUGUGAAAGCCCGAGGCUUAACCUCGGGUCUGCAUUCGAUACGGGCAGGCUAGAGUGUGGUAGGGGAGAUCGGAAUUCCUGGUGUAGCGGUGAAAUGCGCAGAUAUCUGGAGGAACACCGGUGGCGAAGGCGGCAUCCUGGACCAACACUGACGCUGAGGAGCGAAAGCCAGGGGAGCAAACGGG